rnacentral:lncRNA from 1 species
UUGCCCUAGUUCCAGCAAGCUGGUACACCAGUAAAAAAUUUUUCUCCACUAUAGCUUUCAGCAUUCUCAAAAAAAUAUCAAUAUAAAUAAUAAACAAUAGGACGAUGAUGACAAUCUAAUAAAUAAUAGGGCGAUGAGGACAAUCUCAUGUCAUAUCGAUUGAAUAAAAAAAUAACUCAAAUAAGAAAAGAAAUAAUACAACCUCAAAUUUAGUUAGUCCAAGCUUCAUGAAAAUCCAGCUA